GCGGCAUGCUUUAUACAUGCAAGUCGAACGCGAAAGUGUCUUCGGACAUUAGUAGAGUGGCAAACGGGUGAGUAACGCGUGGGAAUAUACCUUAUAGUACGGAAUAGCCUCGGGAAACUGGGAUUAAUACCGUAUACACCCUGAGGGGGAAAGAUUUAUCGCUAUAAGAUUAGCCCGCGUCAGAUUAGCUAGUUGGUGGGGUAAUGGCCUACCAAGGCAACGAUCUGUAGCUGGUCUGAGAGGAUGAUCAGCCACAUUGGGACUGAGAUACGGCCCAAACUCCUGCGGGAGGCAGCAGUAGGGAAUAUUGGACAAUGGACGAAAGUCUGAUCCAGCAAUGCCGCGUGAGUGAUGAAGGCCUUAGGGUUGUAAAGCUCUUUUAGUGGGGAAGAUAAUGACGGUACCCACAGAAAAAGCACCGGCUAACUUCGUGCCAGCAGCCGCAGUAA
rnacentral:rRNA from 1 species